rnacentral:lncRNA from 1 species
AAGUCGUGAUCACAAAUGAGAAGAAGACUCGAGGGGAUUGAUGAGCUGAGGCCAGGCUGGACCACUAGAAUGCAGCAAGAGCAGCUGAGCCCAGUGCUCUGGUCUCUAUUAUGUGGAGCGUAAGGGAGAGGGAGAUGGAUGAGGUCAUACUAUUGCAAUCACUUGGGAAAAAAUACACAAACUUCCAAAACUGCAAGAUGCUUUCUACUGCCACCAGACCUCCUUUGGAGGUUUUCCUACCGCUUAAUAACCAGGAACUUGUUGGCGUCUGACAGAGCAUCUCAGAUUUCUUACAUAAAAUGUGGAAUUGUCAAUAGUCAGAUGCAUCAGUGGCCAAGGCUAUGGUGUGCAGUUUCUAUCAGCGUGUACAGGACAUCCUGCCUGGUUUUGGCCUCAAGGAAGCAAUGGUGAGAUUUCGUAGCUCAUCGUCUCCUGGUUGGAGCAAAGGGUGCCAAACAGAGGUCAAGCUCGGGCCACAGGGAAACUGGGAAAAUACGUUCAUUGCCAUGUGCGAGGAGUCCAGUGGAUUUCAGAAAUCUUCUGUGUCUUCUUAUAGGAUACAGUGACAGCCCCUUACUGGAAGAACAUUUUAGAGCUGCCAUUGAUGGACACAGAGAGUGUUAAAACCCAGAGCACAUAAACCAGGAUGAGAAAAUUAAUCAGAAGAUAAAAGACAGCGGCUUUGGGAUCCCUGGCCGAGCCCUCCUGCAUGCUCCUGGGACAUCCUUUCAGACCAGCAGCACCAUCCCGUGCAGGGGCUGUGACAGAUGACUUAUAAUGUAGACAUCACCUCUGCUGGUGGACAGCCUUCGGAUCUGCUGAGUCCUUUUAUAAUAAAUAAAACCAAACACGACAAAACACUAUAAACAAAA